rnacentral:rRNA from 1 species
UACGUAGGAGACAAACGUUAUCCGGAGUUACUGGGCGUAAAGGGCGUGUAGGUGGUUUUGUAAGUCUGGCGUGAAAUUUUUCGGCUUAACCGGGAAAGGUCGUCGGAUACUGCAAGGCUAGAGGAUGGUAGAGGCGUGUGGAAUUCCGGGCGUAGUGGUGAAAUGCGUAGAGAUCCGGAGGAACACCAGUGGCGAAGGCGACACGCUGGGCCAUACCUGACACUGAUGCGCGACAGCAUGGGGAACAAACAGG